CCUGCAAAUUACAUUAAAAGAGAUUAGAUGAGAAGGCCAUAGCAUGUCUAACGUGCAAGACCAUGUUACUUGGACCUCUGGGGGAGAGAGGGGUGAUUCUUGAUUUUGCUUCAUUAACAAAUUGUAAUGAGAAUCUUUUUUCAUCUUUCAGUAACAAAUUCCAAGUCCUUUAAAAAAAAAUGGAAAACAGGCCAAAUUCUUCCAAAUAAGUAUAAAUCUCAACUGAAUAUAAGCACUAUUGCAAGGAAGCCACCAGGAUGUCUCCACAUUAAUUUUGUAUGCAGCCACACUCUGUUCUGUCCAUCUUCUGAAUAAUGUAAAGGUAACCAAGAGUCCCCUGCCCCAUCAGUUCUUACCUGGUUAAACAAGUCAAUAAUGUUUUCAAGCAUCUUAGCAGCUUUUCUUUUCUUUUCCUCCAGUUGUUCUGAUUGUUUUAUCUUCAUUUCAACAGCUGUACUAAACAAUGCCUGCAGCAAAAGCAUACAAAAUCAUUCUCAAAACACUAUCCAAGUCCUAAUCAUAAGUUCUAUUAUUCUACCCAGCCCACUUUUCCGUCUUAGUCAAUCUGGAGAAAAUGAGGGGAAAAAUACUGGGAGCCUUAAAAUGUAUGAAAUUAAUGUAAGAUCACAUGAGAACCCAAAGAUAGUACCAGGGAAAAAAAUUUUAUUGUGGAUUAUAUAACUGGUAAUAAAAAUUUAAACGUGAUUACAAAGAAAAUACCACCGUGACAAGAGGUGAACACACACAAUGAGUUCAGGUUUUCCCUUCAACCAGCUAAAUCAUUUCUGUGCAACCAGGUUACUUAGAGCCUGUCUGUAUUCUUUUUACUUUGAAGGAUAUAAUUCACUGCAGCUAAUACAGUUUUAUUCUAAAACUUAAAGGUAUGAGCUAGGCAAAAUUAGAGAGUUCACAAUAUUUAUCAAAAUAUGGCGAAUAGUGCCAUGGAUACUUAUUACAAUAUAUAAUAUAGAUGCUUCUCAAGAGUCUCAUCUCAUUUGGAAACACCCAUCUUUUUUUUUUUACUGCCUUCAAGAGGCCUAAAACUAAGCAAGAUUAGCAUACUAUGCUCAACUACUUGAUAAAAUACAUUUUUCUUGAUAAAAUAAGGCACAGGCUAGUCACUUAUUUUUGUAAAGUUUUACUGGAACACAACCACACCCAUUAAUUUAAGCUAGAUCAGCAGAGUUGAGCAGCUGCAUCAGAGACCUUAUGGCCUGAAAAAUCCAAAAAUAUUUACUGUCUACCUUUUAAAAAAUAAUUUACCAACUUCUUCUACUAGAUCACUGAAGUUAUAUCUUAAUAGCAUUUUGUAGGAACUUAUUUUUCCCCUUUUUAUAUUUAUGCCCUCCAAAAGCCAGUUUUAAAUUGAGGAAAAUUAUUUAGCUUACACUCAAAUGUAAGCCACCUCAAGUGCAUUCGUUAAAUGAGGUCAGUAUAAAAACAUUUUUAAAAUAUUCUGAACAUUAUGAAUCUACUAAGAACUACUUAACUAUACACUUUAAAGUAUAAUUUUAUGUAAAAUGUGAAUUUUACAUUAUAUAAGUUGAAACGUUUUUCAAAUACUGUCUGCUAAGAAAGCCAUUAAAAAAUUUCAUAUGCCUAUCACUAGUUACCUUAAAUUGAUUUUCACUUCUUUUUAUUAAUUAUCAACUUUCCAACACUUUGCAAUUCACCAUAGCUACUGAAUUUUUCUUUUCCCCUCCUAUGGCCAGUUGGAAAAUGCAGACAAAAUGCUUAUAAGAAAAUUAAGAACUGCAAAUUUUAAACUAUUCAAAACACCUUAGUAUAUCUCUUCACAUUCAAAGAAGAAUCAUUAUAAUCUAACAGAGAAUCACAGUUUUAUAACACAUCAAUAUAUAAGAUAACAGAAUCUUUUUGUCACAUCCAAUUAUUUCAACAAAGUACGGUAUUACCUAUUAUGUCCCAGAUACGGAAGUCUCAUCAUAAAAAAAA